UGUGUCCUUCGGGAGUAGACUUUUCUUCCUGAGUCACAGAUGAAGGAAAGACAACAGAAACUUCUGAGAGAAUAGAGAGACAGGCUGAGGAAAGCAAGAGAGUCUCAAUGUGCUGCUAAGUGUGAUCAGACAACAAUGGAAAAUAUUGCAGCCAUUCACAUGAACAAGCAAUGAAUGCCACAUUUUGUCCUGCUUCAAGUCAAGCCACAAGCAUGGCUUCGCUUCACUGUUGGAAACAGCAUGGAAACAUGGAAUAUGCAGUGCUACCGCACUGUGCCUCCUCACUGCUGCAGCCUGAGUCAUUCAGAAGUCGCUGCAAAUAGGAUGGGAGCCCACACCAGUGCCAUCACAGCUUCUGUCUCUUAAGUCUGACAGAGCAAGCCUGAAGUUACACGGCUGUGAUAUCUGCUAUUAUUACAUGACAAGAAGAAAAUGUUCCUGAAUAAGACUGACUUUUAAUCCUGAGAUAAUCAAUUUCUAUUACUUGAAGACUCUCAAUACAUAGACCAAAAUUAUUCAGCUCAAAGUUCUGUGAAGAUGUUUUCAACCCAUAAAUUAUCUGCAAACGAACUAUAAAAAACUGCAUCUAGAAAAACAUUUCUUUGAUGAUAUCAGUAUUCAUUCACAAUAUUUGACUGAAUACUAAGAGAAGCCAGAUGCUUGUUUAAAAUUCCACCACCAUCCUGUACUAUACAGGGGGAAACUUACAGAAGAAUAGCAAAGCCUCAAGAGCAGAAAAUGAACUUUUGUUAUCUAGGGAAAUUACGAGAUCAAAGGAAGGGCUAUUGCAAAUGAGUUGGAGGUUUAAACAUCCAAACUGUAGGCAUAACAGUAACUCUACCUCUGAAACUCAGCCUGUGUUGUGCACCACAGGAAAGCAUAAAACUGAUAGUAAAGUCUGAUAGAAAGUAAGGCAGUCUGAUUAUAAAUAAAAUUCAUCUCUGAAGUAUUAGCCCUAACACACCAAGGCAGCAGACCCAGCUCCCUGGAAUCCUCCUUGCCCAUACAACAUUGCCUUAUCCAUAGCUAAAAUGGCUGGCUCUGUGUAUCUUCAAGGACAUUAAGUCUCAUAACACAGAACUAGGAUUUUCUUGUUCAUUUUUCGCCUUUUUUUCUAGGUCCAGACUAUUAAAAUCUCCAUGCUACCUUCAGCUA